rnacentral:rRNA from 1 species
UACGAAGGGGGCUAGCGUUGCUCGGAUUUACUGGGCGUAAAGGGCGCGUAGGCGGACAGUUAAGUUGGGGGUGAAAGCCCGGGGCUCAACCUCGGAAUUGCCUUCAAUACUGGCUGUCUUGAGUGUGAGAGAGGUGUGUGGAACUCCGAGUGUAGAGGUGAAAUUCGUAGAUAUUCGGAAGAACACCGAUGGCGAAGGCAGCCAUCUGGACCGACACUGACGCUGAGGCGCGAAAGCGUGGGGAGCAAACAGG